rnacentral:misc_RNA from 1 species
GUCAAGUUGAAUCAAUUCGUAAGAAAAGCAGCCAAAUUUUGUUGCAGUUUUUACUGGACUACCAUAUAUCCGGGAAACGUCUUCAACAACAUCUUGAUUUCUUACUUUCAAACUUAAGAUAUGAGCAUUCAACUGGAAGAGAAGCUAUCCUUGAAAUGCUUCAUGCUGUUAUAAUGAAAUUCCCUAUUAGCAUCAUAGAUGAACAAUCUCAGACGUUUUUUCUGCAUUUGGUGGUUUGU